GUGGGGAAUAUUGGACAAUGGGCGCAAGCCUGAUCCAGCAAUGCCGCGUGUGUGAAGAAGGCCUUCGGGUUGUAAAGUACUUUCAGCGGGGAGGAAGGCGAUGCGGUUAAUAACCGCGUCGAUUGACGUUACCCGCAGAAGAAGCACCGGCUAACUCCGUGCCAGCAGCCGCGGUAAUACGGAGGGUGCAAGCGUUAAUCGGAAUUACUGGGCGUAAAGCGCACGCAGGCGGUCUGUUAAGUCAGAUGUGAAAUCCCCGGGCUUAACCUGGGAACUGCAUUUGAAACUGGCAGGCUUGAGUCUUGUAGAGGGGGGUAGAAUUCCAGGUGUAGCGGUGAAAUGCGUAGAGAUCUGGAGGAAUACCGGUGGCGAAGGCGGCCCCCUGGACAAAGACUGACGCUCAGGUGCGAAAGCGUGGGGAGCAAA
rnacentral:rRNA from 1 species